rnacentral:rRNA from 1 species
AUUGAACGCUGGCGGCAUGCCUUACACAUGCAAGUCGAACGGUAACGGGCCUUCGGGUGCCGACGAGUGGCGCGCGGGUGAGUAAUACAUCGGAACGUGCCCGAUCGUGGGGGAUAACGAGGCGAAAGCUUUGCUAAUACCGCAUACGAUCUACGGAUGAAAGCAGGGGACCGCAAGGCCUUGCGCGGACGGAGCGGCCGAUGGCAGAUUAGGUAGUUGGUGGGAUAAAAGCUUACCAAGCCGACGAUCUGUAGCUGGUCUGAGAGGAUGAUCAGCCACACUGGGACUGAGACACGGCCCAGACUCCUACGGGAGGCAGCAGUGGGGAAUUUUGGACAAUGGGCGCAAGCCUGAUCCAGCCAUGCCGCGUGCAGGAUGAAGGCCUUCGGGUUGUAAACUGCUUUUGUACGGAACGAAAAGCCUUCUUUUAAUACAGGAGGGUCAUGACGGUACCGGAAGAAUAAGCACCGGCUAACUACGUG